rnacentral:rRNA from 1 species
CAGUCGCCGCGGGAAUACGUAGGGUGCAAGCGUUAAUCGGAAUUACUGGGCGUAAAGCGUGCGCAGGCGGUUUUGUAAGUCUGUCGUGAAAUCCCCGGGCUCAACCUGGGAAUGGCGAUGGAGACUGCAAGGCUAGAAUCUGGCAGAGGGGGGUAGAAUUCCACGUGUAGCAGUGAAAUGCGUAGAUAUGUGGAGGAACACCGAUGGCGAAGGCAGCCCCCUGGGCUAAGAUUGACGCUCAUGCACGAAAGCGUGGGGAGCAAACAGGAUUAGAUACCCGCGUAGUCCCUGUCUCUUAUAC